rnacentral:lncRNA from 13 species
UCGGGCGGAUCCCUGCCCUCACGGCUCGGGUCGAUCCCUGCCCUCACGGCUCGGGCGGAUCCCUGCCCUCACGGCUCGGGUCGAUGCCUCCCCUCACGGCUCCGGAGCUGCUUCUCCUCACGUAUCAUCCAUCACUCGCUCCCAGUACACCUUCCUCACAGUUUCUGAUGCAAAGGUAACCCCAGCCCAAAUUAGGUCUGUGAUUUUCCUCUGCUCCCUUAUUGUGCAUAAUCUUUCCCUUCUUCUUUUCCCCCACUCGAAGCCUCCUGGGAGGUUUCUCCUGGGCCUGCUGCAUUAAAACUUUGAUUCUGCACAAGUCGAACUUCUGGACUUGAUGUUGGCACCACGGAGACUCUCGAUCUGAGCAUCUCUGAGUUUGAAAAGAUGCCCUCCUGUGCCUGCCUGGCACACAGGGAGCCCUCUCCAGCAUAUGCCAUCUCAGCCUCAGGUGCUGGCAGUCUGAAUCCUCAUCUCCACUUUGUGGGCUCAUGGUUAAUCUAUAAGCUCCUCGGAUUCAUCCCCCUCAAAUUCUGAAGGGCCAAACCCACCAGUUUUUGUGAACUGUCUUUUAGCCCUGAGUUCCACCAGCCUCAAAAGUUCUUGGAGAAUUACGGAGCUGUUAGCUGCCGUCUGACUGUUCCCAUGGCUGAAAGAUGCUUCAUGUACAGGCAGCUGUUGAGAACAGAGGAAGGAAUAGAUGAUGGCACCAAAUCCUGCCCUGGAGCUGAGCAGGGCUCGAAGAGCAGCCCCGUGUGGAGAAGCAGAUGGAGCUCUGCAAAGUAUCAGCAUGCUGGAUUUUAUGGAGCAUUUCUAAAGCUGAGGGAAAACUGUCUGGGAAUUUCUAGGUCAGGUAACCUUGCUCUCUCUUGUGGAAAGCCUGAGGAGCUCCAGGAGGGAUUUAAGGAAGAGAUCUUCCUCUCCUGUUCAGGUGAAUAGUCAUGAAUUAGACUCUUGGGAGACUAAAGCAGUAUAAAUACAUAAGGAAAUCUUU